rnacentral:rRNA from 1 species
GAUGAACGCUGGCGGCGUGCCUAAUACAUGCAAGUCGAGCGAACAGAUGAGGAGCUUGCUCCUCUGACGUUAGCGGCGGACGGGUGAGUAACACGUGGAUAACCUACCUAUAAGACUGGGAUAACUUCGGGAAACCGGAGCUAAUACCGGAUAAUAUAUUGAACCGCAUGGUUCAAUAGUGAAAGACGGUUUUGCUGUCACUUAUAGAUGGAUCCGCGCCGCAUUAGCUAGUUGGUAAGGUAACGGCUUACCAAGGCAACGAUGCGUAGCCGACCUGAGAGGGUGAUCGGCCACACUGGAACUGAGACACGGUCCAGACUCCUACGGGAGGCAGCAGUAGGGAAUCUUCCGCAAUGGGCGAAAGCCUGACGGAGCAACGCCGCGUGAGCGAUGAAGGUCUUCGGAUCGUAAAACUCUGUUAUUAGGGAAGAACAAAUGUGUAAGUAACUACGCACGUCUUGACGGUACCUAAUCAGAAAGCCACGGCUAACUACGUG